CGGGUAAGUAGUUUAGAGUCGUCGUCUUGAAUUAUUGUGCUUUACCUGUCGUUCCAUAGUGUUGGAUUUAAAAGUAGUCGCUUUAGCGAGCGAGACAUGAAACAUGAGACAAGUUAGUGGAUCGUAUAAGUAAGUGUUAGUUAGUGAUUCAUACUGCAUGUGACAAAGAUUACUACAAGAAGCUUUUUUCGAGAAAAAAGGUCCAAAGAGGGAGGAAGAAAACUACUUGUAACCACUUAUUGACCCAUUCUUUUCAGUUUUCACUGCCCUGUGUUUAUUACGUCUUUUGCUUAUUCCUUCUCUUGUCGCUGAAAUGUUCACCUCCGGAGAACCUGUCACGUAACAAAACUCUGCAAUCUCUCAGUCAUAUUCUCCUAGUGUAUGGUGGAAUACGUAAAUCAGUAGAGUCCAAUUUAAACCGAAAGCAAGACAAAAUGUGUUAAAUUUUAUCAAUACAAACCAAAUAACUCGGUAGUAUUCUGCCUCGCUAGUGGCUCUCUCAUAACAGCUCUAAUUUGCUUAACAAAACAAAACCUGUAGGCUGUAGCUAACAGUUGAGCAGCUAUACUUUUUUCAAAGCUUGUCAUUGCCACAAGUGUAUGAAUACGCCUACGGCCUGCACUAGAAAACAUCUGAAGAUACACACAGGGGGUUAAGACCGUUGAUGCACCACCAGCAAAGCUCAAACUUACUUCUGGAGAGACGUCAGCGGCACUGCAACAUAUAUUAACCGUUAGACGUUAUAACUUUAUAAGAGAUAACAGCUAUGUCUAUAUACAUGGACACUAGAGUAACUUUACCCAGAUAUGAUAUCAAAGUCCCAGUAGCUCUCAUAGUUUGAGUGGUUUAUGAAUCUUCCUUCUUGUGAGAUGAACACGUAUCAUGUAAAUUGGAUUGUAAUCAGGAGAGAUUGCAAUCGAGAGUCCUUUUUCAGAUUCAGAUUACUUAAAAUUUGUAAGGUGCUUAU
rnacentral:lncRNA from 1 species